rnacentral:lncRNA from 1 species
ACGAGAGCUAACUAAAAACUCAAAAUAUUUUUUUUUCUUUUAUUCGUAAUUUUUUUUGGGGUCUACAUGGCUUGGGCCCCUCUGGUCAUAUGGUUGAUCCGCCACUGGUUUAGUGAAAGUAGUUUUCCAAGUUAUAUAUAUCUAGUUUAGGCGUCUAUAAGUAUGUGCGUCCAAAUAUUCAUUACACUUCAAAUUCCAUCACAUAUGUAGGAAAAAGAAAUAUCCAAGAAUUUGUUAUAGAAAAAGACAAUUUUGUAUAUCUGGAAACUCACAUAAUGUCAUUUCGAUCAUUAGAAAGCCCGUGGCACUUGAUUUAACAUGAUCAUUUUUUAAAGUCAACUUCGUGGAAAUUAUGUAGCAGUGAUACCUCAAAAGGCAAAUCACAACCCACCCAGCACGUAGUAUAUACAGCAAUUUUGUUUUUAUUUAGGAAAAAAAAUAACAUGGAUUUAAACCAUUUUUAAUUUGAUGUUUGACUCAGGUUUAUGUAGCCAUUAUGGAAGCAUUAAGGCCAUAUUUGCAUGGUGGUAGAGAAUUGGGGACAUGGAAAGAAUUUGAUUUCUUUCAUACUUUCCAUUAUUUGGUUAGACCAAAUUUAAUAGAAUUGAAUUUAUAUUGAAAUUCAAUUUCCAUCAAUUUGAAGAAUUUGUAUUCCUUAUCAAUGACUAAGGAUUUCAAAUUCAUUAUCUAUUUAAACACAAAAAUUCCAAUAUUAUCCUCUAACCAAAAUCAAUUUUAAAUAAAUUAAAGUACAAAUAAUUUAUAUUUAUUUUCUUAAAUUAAUAGGAUAAACUUAUUUAAAAAAAGAAAAAACAGUAAAGUGACUCGCCGGAAAGUCACCGGAGACUCGUCGGAGUUUUGUUAGAGAUGCGUUUUACCAUCAAAACUGGUACUAAUGGAAUCCUCAUGAGCCGAUCUACAACUCUAUGGGGUUAGAAAUGCUAAUAUAUGUUGUUAUUUAACUCAAGUCUUAUUUAAAUGCUGGGGAAAAUUUUAACUCUCAUAUUUCCAACCAUACAGUGUAUUUUUUGCAAAAUUAACAUUUCAAAUGAGUAAAUCGUCCAUUUUUAAUCAUUAUUAUGCAUUUAACGCGAUGAAAAAUGAACGGUCAACGGCGCCGGUCUAUGGCGGUCAACAGUGAUCAACGGCGGUCAACUUGGUAGCUCUCCAUGGCCAAAUGCUGUAAUUUUAAAAAAAUUAUUUAAUUAGAUAAUUUCUAGAUUAAAUUAAUUCAUAGUUUUAUUAUAUUUUAAUUUAUCAACACUAUUAACAUUACAAAUAGUGGGUAUAUUUGUCCAAAUAAAGAAUAUAUAAUUUAUUUUCCUUUCAAAUUUAAUGUGAAACCAAACAAUAACAAUUAAUUUUUUUACUCUUUUCCUCUCAUCAUCUCUCCAUUCCUCUCCUUUUUUCUCCUCUCCUCUCUUCUCCUUUUGUAAAACCAAACACCACCUAAGGGAAUGGACAUAGCUAUAAUCAGUUUUUUCAGUGAAGUCAAAUAUAAGAGAGCCUGUGAUUUCACUAUGCACUUACAAUAUAAUUUGGCUGGGUUUAUUCUAAUUUAAAAUUUUGACUUAAAUUUUUUACACAAAUUUUCAAUUAUUGUAAUUCGGUGUAUAUAGUUAUUGUAAAAUAUAAAGAAGUCUACAUAUUUUAUAAAAAUUCAGUACAACUUUGAUGAGCUAUUAUGUUGAUCCAUUAGCUUUGAAAUUAAUCCUUAUUUGGUACGGAAUAAUGUUGAAUUUUUAUGUGAAUAUAUUAAAGAAAGAAUUAUUCGAUCCUGUCCAUCCGUUAUGUGGCUUUACAAGAAACCAAAAUGAAAUAUUUAUAAAAAAGAUUGAUGAUGAAUUAGGUGCAAAAUAUUUUUCUUAUUCGUACGUAUUGGUUAAUUUAGAUUUAGGAGAAGUACAAAUUUAAUUGAAUUGAAUGGAAUUUCCAAAUGUCCAAGUAAUUUUAUAUGAAAAUUAGAAUGAUUGCGAUAAACUUGUAACCAAUUUCCACCAACCAAAUCUAAAUCUAUAUGAUCAACUUGUAACCAAUUUGAAGUGUGGACUAAAAAGGCACAGAGUCGUGAAGAAAUUGAAAAUGUACCAUUUCCUCCUCCAUGCCAUGUGGUACAUGUGAAUUUCAUUUAUCAAUUGGCAGCAUAGAAAUUCAGCGAAAUCACCAUCGCAAUGCCUCGUAUAUAUCACAAAAAAAUGUUGUAAUUUUGUUCUUUUGUGAGCUGUUUGACUUACAGGCGCAGCCAUUAAGUCAGAAAAUUGACUCAUAGGAGUAACAUAAUAAUAAAAUAAAAUAAAAAAAUUAAUAAACUACGACUAUGUUUGGAUGUUGAAUAAAAAGUGGGAUUAAACUAAUUUAAAGGAUAAAAAAAAAUUAAUCCAAUCCGAAGUUAUGUUUGACUACAAGGACUAAUAGAUUAGUCCAAAUUUUAGUCCGGCAUUCAUAGUAUUAUUAAUUGUCUUUUUCACAUGGAUUUAGAUAGGAUUAACUAUUUUAAUCUAAAUUUGUAAUUA